rnacentral:rRNA from 1 species
CCUACGGGUGGCAGCAGUGAGGAAUAUUCGUCAAUGGACGACAGUCUGAUCCAGCCACGUCGCGUGCCUGAUGACUGCCCUCUGUUUUUUAAACUUCUUUUUUAAAGGAAUAAAACGAGGCACGUGUGCCUUUUUGCAUGUACUUUAUGAAUAAGGAUCGGCUAACUCCGUUCCAGCAGCCGCGGUAAUACGGAGGAUCCGAGUGUUGUCCGGAUUUAUUGGGUUUAAAGGGAGCGUAGAUGGGUUGUUAAGUCAGUUGUGAAAGUUUGCGGCGCAACAGUAAAAUUGCAAUUGAUACUGGCAGUCUUGAGUACAGGUGAGGUAGGCGGAAUUCGAGGUGUAGCGGUGAAAUGCUUAGAUAUAACGAAGAACACCGAUUGCGAAGGCAGCUUACUAAACUGUAACUGACGUUGAUGCUCGAAAGUGUGGGUAUCAAACAGGAUUAGAUACCCGAGUAGUC